rnacentral:rRNA from 1 species
AGGGGUGACUGCGUACCUUUUGUAUAAUGGGUCAGCGACUUACAUUCAGUGGCGAGGUUAACCGAAUAGGGUAGCCGUAGAGAAAUCGAGUCCGAAUAGGGCGAAUUAGUCGCUGGGUGUAGACCCGAAACCAAGUGAUCUAUCCAUGGCCAGGAUGAAGGUACCGUAACAGGUGCUGGAGGUCCGAACCGACUAGUGUUGCAAAACUAGCGGAUGAGCUGUGGAUAGGGGUGAAAGGCUAAACAAACUUGGAGAUAGCUGGUUCUCUCCGAAAACUAUUUAGGUAGUGCCUCAAGUAUUACCUUCGGGGGUAGAGCACUGUUUAGGCUAGGGGGUCAUGGCGACUUACCAAACCUAUGCAAACUCCGAAUACCGAAGAGUACAGCUUGGGAGACAGAGCACCGGGUGCUAACGUCCGGACUCAAGAGGGAAACAACCCAGACCGCCAGCUAAGGUCCCUAAAAUUGGCUAAGUGGGAAACGAAGUGGGAAGGCUAAAACAGUCAGGAUGUUGGCUUAGAAGCAGCCAUCAUUUAAAGAAAGCGUAAUAGCUCACUGAUCGAGUCGUCCUGCGCGGAAGAUGUAACGGGGCUAAGCCAGUUACCGAAGCUGCGGAUGCACAGUUUACUGUGCGUGGUAGGAGAGCGUUCUGUACGCCUGUGAAGGUG